GUAAACCGUGAACUGGUGCGAUGAGAUUCCAAUCAUCUUGCUCAAAAGCGACUGGAAAUUCUUGAAUUCCGUCGAAGAAGAAACGAUGACGGAACCGAUGUUGGUAUCUCGUUCGCCGUCGUGGAAAACGAUCGGGAACGAAACGCCCUCGACGGUCUCCGCCAUCCCCGCUGCAAAUUAAUGAAUUCUUCUUCAAUUGGGGAACAGAAGAAAAACUCUCAUAAAGAAAGGAAGAAGUAGAAAGAGGGUUUUACGGAGAAAUCUUGAAGGAGGCUAUGGG
rnacentral:misc_RNA from 1 species